UAGUUUUUCAGCGUCGUUUUGAGACAGGAUAUUCCUAAUUUUGGCAAUGUUACGAAGAUGAAAAAAGGCUGUUAAAAGUAAAAAAAAUUAAAAGUAAUGCUAAAUGGUUCUCUGUUGUUGAUUUGUCUAAUGCUUUUUUCAGUGUCCCGGUGGACAAAGACAGUCAGUUCUGGUUCGCUUUCCUGUUUGAUGGAAAACCAUACACUUUCACACGCCUUUGUCAGGGAUACACUGAAUCUCCGACCAUCUACAAUGACGCACUGCGCGACAGCCUAGAGAGCUUCACACCAAACCUAGGUUCAAGUCUGCUGCAGUACGUAGACGACAUUUUGAUUGGAAGCUCAACACAAGCUGUGUGAGCAUUACACGAUUGCGCUAUUGUGUCAUCUUGCAACUGAGGGACACAAAGCCAGUCUUAAGAAAUUGCAGUUUGUAAAACAAGAGGUCCACUUCCUGGGACAUGACAUUUCUGGGUCAGGGAAAACCUUGUCUCCUUCGCGAAUUGAGGCAAUUGUUUCCCUACCAAAACCGGUAACAAAAAAACAAAUGAUGUCAUUUUUAGGAAUGUGUUCCUACUGUCGUGUUUUCAUCCCAAAUUACGCGGAACUUGUUCAACCUUUAGGGGACGUGAUACACGGUAAGGGACUGACUGCACACAAUUUGGUAACCUGGACUGUUGAGGCUGAGCAGGCCUUUGUAAAUCUUAAAAAGGCCUUUCAAAGUCCCUCAACCUUAGGUUUGUCAUUUCACUCAGACAGUGGAUGAACGCUUAGGAUGCAUGACAUCUGUUCUCCUGCAGCCGCAUGGAGACAGACUGAGGCCUGUGGCCUAUUUCUCUGCAAAACUCGAUCCAGUUGCAGCAGGCCUUCCGAUUUGUCUCAGGGCUGUAGCAGCUGCUGAAAGGGCUUUGGCGGCAUCACGUGACAUAGUAGGAUAUGCUCCACUCACACUGUUAGUCCCACAUGCUGUCUCUUUGAUCCUACUUGAACAAAAGGCUUCACAUUUGUCUGCAGCACGAUACCUACGUUAUCAUAUAGUACUUCUUGACAUGCCUAACGUAACAGUUAAACGUUGUACUGUACUUAACCCUGCUUCUCUUAUGCCUACACCAGAGGACGGAGAACCACAUGACUGUUUGGCAGAGCUGGCGCAAACAUGCACACCUCGCCCAGAUCUUUCGGAUACUCCUUUGGAGAAUCCAGACCUCAUUUUGUAUGUAGAUGGGUCAGCCUCUCGCUGCCCACAAACAGGACAGGGACAGGUAGGAUUUGCUGUAGUUUCUGACACUGAAACUAUGAUUGCUAAAUCGCUCCCAAACCAUUUGUCUGCACAGGCUGCUGAGCUCAUUGCCCUCACGGAAGCAUGUAAGUUGGCUGAUGGCUCAUCUGUUACCAUCUUCACGGACUCAAGGUAUGCUUUUGGAGUGGUGCACGACUUUGGUGCACUGUGGAAACACCGACAAUUUCUGAAAUCUGAUGGUAAGCCCAUUUUACAUCAUUUGAUCAAUGAUCUUUUGACUGCUAUUCUACUACCAACAUGGGUGGCUGUAUGUAAAUGCGCUGCACACACAGGAGCGCAAGAUGCUGUCUCUAGGGGUAACAGUCAUGCUGAUAUAGCUGCUAAAGCAGCUGCACGCCUGCCCCUCACAUUCGACAACUUAGCUCACACUGCAGAGGAUCACUUCUCACUCCCAGAGUCUGUCAUUGCUAUGCAGACACAUGCUACACCACAAGAAAGACAACCGUGGAAAACAGUAGGGUGCACCUUUAACACUGGCAUCUGGCUAGGGCCAGAUUCUAAACCAUGUCUCCCAAAACACUUUUUCCCACAUUUUGCUAAGUUGACACAUGGGUUGGACCAUAUCUCCAAAGGGGGAAUGGUGGUAGCUAUCACGCAGACAUGGUUUACAAAGGGGUUCACUACAUUAGCAGAAUAAUUUUGUAAAGCUUGCAUAAUAUGCGCACAACACAACAUUGGCAGAGGAGUGAAUGUAACACGACAGGCAACCCACCAACACGACCAUUUGAACAUUUGAUGAUGGAUUUUGUUGAGCUAACACCGUCAGAGGGGAAAAAACAUUGCCUCGUUAUGGUUGAUGUGUUCUUUAAAUAGGUGGAAGUGUUCCCGGCCAAAAGACAGACAGCUUCAGUGGUGGCAAAAGCUCUUCUGACAGAAAUCAUUCCCAGAUGGGGAAUACCGAGCCUUGUGUCUAGCGACAAUGGAGCUCAUUUUGUAAACUCAGCGAUAACAGAGCUUGUUUAUCGGUAUAAACAUCAAGACGCAUUGCAGUUAUCAUCCCCAAUCCGCAGGAUCGGUGGAACGCGUGAAAAGCAAAACUAGCGAAAUGCUGUGCAGACACAGGCCUCCCUUGGACAAAGGCGCUACCUUUGGUCCUAAUGUAUAUGCGAAUGCGUACACGAUCUCGUUCCAAUCUCAGUCCAUAUGAGAUUCUGUUUGCCAGGCCUCCUUAUGUAAGGACAGAAAUGCCAAAGGCGGCAAUUCCCUCAACAGCUCUAUGUGAACAUGACAUGUUGAAAUACUGCACCCAACUUUCUUCUGCUCUUUCUGACAUAAGAAAACAGGUUUCAACAGGUCUGCCUAAACCAGCUGAGGGACCACUGCAUAAGCUCCGGCCUGGGGACUUUGUGGUGAUCAAAAGCUUCAGGAGGAAGAACUGGCAGUCCAGACGGUGGGAAGGACCCUUCCAGAUCCUCCUGGUCACUCACACAGCGGUCAAGGUCGCGGAACGAUCCACGUGGGUGCACGUACCCUCCGAGGAGAUUCGGGGGGUCCAAAUUUACACACUAGGAACACUAGUGAGGGAGCAUGGGAGGGGAAAGCGAGUGACGCGUUCCACAGUUUCUGCGUCUAGAAGUAGAUGGCGUUCAGAGUACAACAGUGACUCCUUUCAUCCGCUCCAUCUACAACUUCCUGUAAGGGAGAUCACAUUCUCCGAAGCAGUGCUGAUCCAGUUCAACUUUUCCCGAGGAGGCUGCGGUGUCAUCCAUUGUUUUGAAAGGUGUCCCUUGACUGUCAGCUCUCCAUCGCAGCCCUGCAUGGCAGUCAAGAAAAGAAUCUCCUGAAUAUCUAUCUAUCUAUCUAUCUAUCUAUCUAUCUAUCUAUCUAUCUAUCUAUCUAUCUAUCUAAAUAAAUAAAAAAAAUUGCCCAGCCCAAACUUACUUUUUCUGACACUUUUAACAUUAACUUGUACGUAAUUCAUCUCCAUACACUGGAGUAUCUCAUGAGUACAGAUGCCCAUCAAUACGCUGUUGCAGGAUAGGUGAAUGACACUUGAAGAAAAACAAAUGUACAGUAUGUGAUAACAGGACAUGCAAGUCAUCAAUUAUCAACAGUGUUAUUUUUGUGGUGGUUAAGUAUAGAUCGAUCAUGCAGUAAGGGCUGACGGCUGGUUAACAUUACGGACAAAAACUAUUUGUUCCGCGUAUUCUCUUGUGUGUAUCCCAUAUAUCCGUCUACUCUAGCAGUUGUGGUUGAUAUGACGUAGGUCCCCUAGCUUUGACCAGACACAAAAAUGGUGACAGCAAAGCAAUGUGAUGUCACGUGGUCCUUAUAAAUAUAUACCAGAAAUUAUGCACAAAGGACUACUUGCACCCUAGUGCUGCUGAUUUUUUGAUGUUAUUUAAUAAAUGUCAUGUUUUAUAUCUGUCA